CCUACGGGAGGCAGCAGUGGGGAAUAUUGCACAAUGGGGGCAACCCUGAUGCAGCCACGCCGCGUGAGUGAGGAAGUCUUUCGGUAUUUAAAGCUCUAUCCGCAGGGGAUAGAAAAGAAGGUACCUGAAAAAGAAGCCCCGGCUAACUACGUGCCAGCAGCCGCGGUAAUACGUAGGGGGCAAGCGUUAUCCGGAUUGACUGGGUGUAAAGGGAGCGUAGACGGAAAGGCAAGUCAGAAGUGAAAAUCCAAGGCUCAACCAUGGGACUGCGUUUGAAACUGUCAAACUCGAGUACGGGAGAGGUAAGAGGAAUUCCUAGUGUAGCGGUGAAAUGCGUAGAUAUACGGAGGAACACCAGUGGCGAAGGCGGAUUGCUGGACAGUAACUGACGCUGAGGCGCGAAAGCGUGGGGAGCAAACAGGAUUAGAUACCCCUGUAGUC
rnacentral:rRNA from 1 species